GUAACACAGCCACAGCCGUCAACACUCUACGUGACAAAACCCCAGGAUUAUCUGGGAUUCUCCAUCUUUGUUUGUCUGUGCUGUUGCUGUCCAAUUGGAAUCGCAUCAAUAAUUUUUUCAUGCGGGUCACGUGAUGCCUUUACUGCUGGAGAUGUGAACACUGCUCAAGCCAAGGGAUCAACAGCUCGUACUUUAAACAUUAUUGGCCUGGUGAUAGGUAUUAUUUGGAUCAUAGUAGCCAUAGUUCUCAGGGUGGUCGUUUAUUCAACGGCAGUAGUAACCACCAGUUCUACUACUUAUGGAUAAUCGAGUACAAUAUAUUAUGCACUGGACACUCUGGAUUCAACGGCAGUAGUAAACACCAGUUCUACUACUUAUGGAUAAUCGAGUACAAUAUAUUAUGCACUGGACACUCGUGGUUACUUGUAAAUAUUGACUAAUAAUGAUAAAGACAAAAAAUAGGGUUUACCUUUCUACUGUUCUACUCUUGACUGGGCUAUUUAAGACGCCAUACCACAGUCUGCUGUGAGGGAAAUUUUGCCAAGGUUGGGGCACUAUGGCCUACUCUUAUAUCCCUACUCUUAUUCCCAAUUCCAACUGCCAUGGGUUCUUUUAUGCGCACGCCAAUGUUUACCCUUUAUCCAUAUUUCGUCCCAUCCUAAAGACUAGACACUGUUCCUUGUCGGGCCAUCCUUCCUACACUACUGACAAGGUAAAACCGCGCCGGAAAUUCCCGAGGAACUUUGUCGGCCAACACUGGAAGCGAACCCGAGAUCUCAUGGCUAGCGCUAGCGGCUCCCUAAUGCACGAACUUAAUUAAAUUAUCUAUGCAUUAAAAUAAAAUCUACUUUACGGAAUGUCUUUUAUAUAACUUACGAUUUUAUCAUUAAAUAUAAUAUUGUUGUUAGAUUAUCUCUUUUCUUUAUUGUAUCCCAUUUUAUCAUUAAACAAUCUCCUUUCUUUGCCAUAAUAUCACAUUUUAUGUAACCGAAAAUAUCCAUGGCUAUUUUUGUUAGUAUUUUUGUGGGUGUGGUGUAGGAUGGGGUGGUUUUUAUGUAUUUGUUUUUGUUUGUUUGUUUUAUCUUUGUUUAAAAACAGCGAUGAAUAAUAUUUAUCUUUAAUUGUUGAUAUAAAUAUUAUCUGUGACUAAUAAGUAUAAUUUUUCUUUCCUAUUUUUAAUUGCUUGUUAAGCUUAUUCAUAGUUUAUACACAUGUGCAGCAAGUGGCUUUCCUUUUAUGAAUGUAGUUUUUAUUAUUAUUAUUAUUAUUGCAGUGUAUAUUCAAUGGAUGUCGGAAAAAAACUUUCUUGUUCUUUUCUAUUUUUUUACUAAAUUAAAACUGCAAUGUUUUAAAAUUGUGCAAGUAAUUGUACUUGUUAAUAAAUAAGUUUUUUUUUUAUAA